rnacentral:rRNA from 1 species
UGAUUCCCCUAGUAACGGCGAGUGAAGAGGGAAAAGCUCAAAGUUGGAACCUGGCUGCCCUAGGCAGUCCGGAUUGUAAACUAAAGAGCGUGAUUCCAGGCAAGCCGGUUGAUCAAGUCCUUUGGAAUGAGGCGCCACUGAGGGUGAGAGCCCCGUAAGUCGACUGAGCAUUUGUCUUUUGUGUUUCGCGUUCAAAGAGUCAGGUUGUUUGGGAAUGCAGCCUAAAGCUGGUGGUAAAUCCCACCUAAAGCUAAAUACAGGCGAGAGACCGAUAGCGAACAAGUACCGUGAGGGAAAGAUGAAAAGAACUUUGAAAAGAGAGUUAAACAGUAUGUGAAAUUGCCAAGAGGGAAGCAUUUGGAGUUAGAUUGACUAGGAGUUAAUCAGCUUGGUCUUUGGACUGGGUGUACUUGACUUCUAUUGGUCUGCCAAUAGCAGUUAGUCCUAGUGGAAAAAACUAGAGGGAAGGUAGUCCUUCGGGAUGUUUAUAGACCUUUGGAAAAUACACUGGGAUUGACUGAGGAAUGCAGUAGAUGCCACUAAGGCUUCGUCUAGUGGGUGCUAGGCAAAGGUACUUGGUAUUUUCAGCUUGCUGAUGUGCUAGGUUACCCGAGUCUAGUCGCCUACUAGAACUGUAAUC